AAACCGAGGCAGGGAAGCUCUACGUCUUGGGGGCCGCAUGGUGCCGAGAGCGCAGACCAGACCCGCCCCGCCUCUCCGUGCCACGCACGCGCUCGGCUCCGCGCUUAAUGGCUGGAGUGCAGUGGCGCGAUCUCGGCUCAUCGCAACCUCCAUCUCCCGGGUUCAAGCAAUUCUCUGCCUCAGCCUCCCGAGUGGCUGGGAUUACAGAAGCAGUAUCUGACUGUGUUGCCCAGGCUGGUCUUGAACUCCUGGUCUCAAAUGAUUCUCCUGCUUUGGCCUCCUAAAGUGCUGGGAUUACAGACAUAUUUAUUCAAUUUUUAAUGUCAGACCAUAAGCAACGCGAAUGAAAUUUGGUGCCAUCACUCGGAUCAGGGGACCUCCCUUGGGAGAUCAAUCCCCUGUCCUCCUGCUCUUUGCUCCAUGAGAAAGAUCCACCUACGAUCUCUGCUCCUCAGACCAACCAGCCCAAGGAACAUCUCACCAAUUUUAAAUCGGAUCUUCUCAGCUUAGCGGCUGAAGACUGAUGCUGCCAGAUGACUUUGGAAGCCCCCUGGACCAUCACAGAUGCCCAGCUUUGGAUAACUCUUACAGUGGAGGAAGACAGGAAUAUCAGGUCUCUGAGCCCAAGCUAAGCCAUCAUAUCCCCUGUGACCUGCAUGUAUGCAUCCAGAUGGCCUGAAGUAACUGAAGAAUCACAAAAGAAGUGAAAAUGGCGCGUGCCUGCCUUAACUGAUGACAUUACCUUGUGAAAUUCCUUCUCCUGGCUCAUCCUGGCUCAAAAGCUCCCCCACUGAGCACCUUGUGACCCCCACUCCUGCCUAACAGAGAACAAUCCCCUUUGACUGUAAUUUCCCACUACCUACCCAAAUCCUAUAAAACGGCCCCACCCCUAUCUCCAUUCACUGACUCUUUUUGGACUCAGCCCACCUGCACCCAGGUGAAAUAAACAGCCUUGUUGCUCACAC
rnacentral:lncRNA from 10 species